rnacentral:rRNA from 1 species
UUGAAAGGGAAACGAUUGAAGUCAGUCAUGCCGACGGGAAUCAACUUAGGGGAACUCCGGGUGCACCUCUUCGUUUGGCAGGUUAGUGUCGAUUUUGGAUGUCAUAAAAUAAUUGGGAGAAGGUAGCUCUUUCGGGAGUGUUAUAGCCCCUGGUAGAUGUGAUAUCUGGGAUCGAGGAUUGCAACGGAUACCCUUCGGGGCCAACCCCCUGAUCCUCUAAUUGGUGUUGGGUUACGGACAGCAUGCUGACCGUGAUCUAAUUACUGGUUAAAAGGUUAGAGUGUGCAUAAAUUCGUUAAGGAUGUUGACGUA